GAAACCCUCUCACAAAAUAAUUUUUGGUGGAUGUUGAGUGUUGCUGUGUAUCAGCUCACUUUAAAUAUAUCAGUCACUUUUUUUUCAUUAUAAGUUGGAUUGACUUGGUGUAAUAACACAUCAAGGAAAGUAGCAAUACUUGCCAGCUUUUGAGAAAGGAGACUUCUAAAGAAACAUAUUAUAAUU
rnacentral:misc_RNA from 1 species